UACGGAGGGUGCAAGCGUUACUCGGAAUCACUGGGCGUAAAGAGCGCGUAGGCGGGAUAGCAAGUCUGAUGUGAAAGCCCCCGGCUUAACCGAGGAAUUGCAUCGGAAACUGUGUUUCUUGAGUGCAGAAGAGGAGAGUGGAACUCCAUGUGUAGCGGUGGAAUGCGUAGAUAUAUGGAAGAACACCAGUGGCGAAGGCGGCUCUCUGGUCUGUAACUGACGCUGAGGCUCGAAAGCAUGGGUAGCGAACAGG
rnacentral:rRNA from 1 species